GGUUAGUGGCGGACGGGUGAGUAACACGUGGGAACGUGCCUUUAGGUUCGGAAUAGCUCCUGGAAACGGGUGGUAAUGCCGAAUGUGCCCUUCGGGGGAAAGAUUUAUCGCCUUUAGAGCGGCCCGCGUCUGAUUAGCUAGUUGGUGAGGUAAUGGCUCACCAAGGCGACGAUCAGUAGCUGGUCUGAGAGGAUGACCAGCCACAUUGGGACUGAGACACGGCCCAAACUCCUACGGGAGGCAGCAGUGGGGAAUCUUGCGCAAUGGGCGAAAGCCUGACGCAGCCAUGCCGCGUGAAUGAUGAAGGUCUUAGGAUUGUAAAAUUCUUUCACCGGGGACGAUAAUGACGGUACCCGGAGAAGAAGCCCCGGCUAACUUCGUGCCAGCAGCCGCGGUAAUACGAAGGGGGCUAGCGUUGCUCGGAAUUACUGGGCGUAAAGGGCGCGUAGGCGGACAUUUAAGUCAGGGGUGAAAUCCCAGAGCUCAACUCUGGAACUGCCUUUGAUACUGGAUGUCUUGAGUGUGAGAGAGGUAUGUGGAACUCCGAGUGUAGAGGUGAAAUUCGUAGAUAUUCGGAAGAACACCAGUGGCGAAGGCGACAUACUGGCUCAUUACUGACGCUGAGGCGCGAAAGCGUGGGGAGCAAACAGGAUUAGAUACCCUGGUAGUCCACGCCGUAAACAAUGAUUGCUAGUUGUCGGGCUGCAUGCAGUUCGGUGACGCAGCUAACGCA
rnacentral:rRNA from 1 species